rnacentral:rRNA from 1 species
GUAGGUGGCAAGCGUUGUCCGGGAAUUAUUGGGGCGUAAAGCGCGCGCAGGCGGUUCUUUAAGUCUGAUGUGAAAGCCCACGGGCUCAACCGUGGAGGGUCAUUGGAAACUGGAGAACUUGAGUACAGAAGAGGAAAGCGGAAUUCCACGUGCAGCGGCGAAAUGCGUAGAGAUGUGGAGGAACACCAGUGGCGAAGGCGGCUUUCUGGUCUGUAACUGACGCUGAGGCGCGAAAGCGUGGGGAGCAAACAGGAUUAGAUACCCUGGUAGUCCACGCCGUAAACGAUGAGUGCUAAGUGUUAGGGGGUUUCCGCCCCUUAGUGCUGCAGCUAACGCAUUAAGCACUCCGCCUGGGGAGUACGGCCGCAAAGGCUG